rnacentral:lncRNA from 1 species
CGCUAUUAGCUGGGCCCAGCUGCCAGAUUCGGAUGGUGCCAUCUUCUGAUCCUGAUGCAUAAGAUUCACCGACUGGGGAGAACCGGACGCAGUGGACAGGACCAUGGUGCCCCUUGUUACAUGCUGUUUUCAAAGGAACACAACUGUAAGUUCAAUGGCGAUAGUUGCGUGCACAGUUUCUUGGAUACUAAAUUACAACAAUGCUGCGAUAGAAUGAGUAUUUCACCACCGUAUAAUAGUUUCUUCCAUCACAUCCCUGAAUUACUUCAAAUGAGAGCCAGUAACUUGAUAUUUAAAUCCACACAUGUGAAUGCUUGGAACGAUCCCAUAAUAAGGGACAUAACAACUAUAUGUGAAAUAGCAAUAUUUGCUUGACCACAGCUGUGAAUCAGGCAGCCUCCAGAAACAAACUUUUUAUAUCAAAAACACCUUAUCAAAAAUCAUACCAUAAACCAUCCUAAGAUCUACAUGGAACUGGCACUGAUUAAAAAGUAGGUAACUAAAACAAACAAACAAACAAACAAGAGGCUGGGAUCCAAGCAGAAUUUCAACUACACUCUUAAUUAAAGAUAAUAAUGGACAAAAGAACUAAAGACCUGACAAUUUAUGAAACAUCAAGCAUGGUUUAUUGCAGGUGACAAGUUUAUGUUGUUAAAACAAGAAAACGCUGGAAAAAGAAAAACUCUGACAAGGCACGUGUUGUUAUCAAUUCUAUAAAUUUACGGAACCUGUUGAAACAAAUUAACUCACCUAAUUCUUCUCCAGUGAAGAAAUCAAAGACACGAACCCACAUGUCUUCACCACCAGUGACAAAUUUGUUCCCAUACUUCGGUUCAAGAGAAGCUGACUCCACUGCGCAUGGCAUAUUAUAACUUUUAACAAGUCCAUAGCUGCAGAAUGACACGGCAUAUUCUGUAAGCAAUAAAGCCAACACAUCUCUCAGCAUUGCUUAAGUAAAGAUACAGAAUUGUCUUACUGAUUUGCAUCCCAAAACUUCACACUUGAGCCAUCAGUUGUCGUGAUAAACCGACCAUCUUGGCUUACUUCCGCACUGGUGACAGGUGACUUGGUUUCAAGUGUUUGGACAAUUUUUCCACUCCUUACAUCCCAUAGCCUGUCAAGAGGCAAUACCAAUUAAUCAAGAGCAAAAAUACAUAUUUUAAAUUUAACACACGUCCUGAAAAGGUGUUUGACAAAGACACAGUUCAGCUUACUCAUGUAUAGCAUUAUUUUACUUCAAAACGUGCAGGUAAGUUUCUAGGAACCUUAAAGGGUAAAUAGUCAAUUUUAUUAACUCGGAACUAUAUUCAAAUCACUGGUUUCACAUGUGUAUAUGUCCAAAUUGAUUUGCGUUUUGAUAGGCUUUUGACAGUGACAUACUUCAGAUGCAUGCUCUGCAACUAAAAAGACAAAGAUAGAGAUCAGGAUUUCCUUUCUAGGGAAGUAGGACUAAAUUUCACCUUGUUAGUGCAAACGUUUAAUUAUUCUUUCAAAAUGAAAUGAAUUCGUAAAAGGCGAACCCUGAAUGAUGCCUUUGUGUUCGCAAUUUAACAGAGUCUGACCCCACAGAACAGUCAAUUCUGCCGGGCUCUCUGAAAAAUAGUUCAGCAAUCAGCAUGCCUAUUUUUUAGAGUUUGGUUUCGACCAUCGAACCGCAAAACCAGGAAUCAUUGACCACCCAACUAUCAAAACCGUUCAUAUUUGGCCAUCGAGCUGUUUUGCUGGGUGGUUUUGGGGACGUGGACGCCACGUGACAACGGGCCCACCUGUCAGCACCUCUCUUUCCUCUCCCUCUCUUUCUUCUAUCCUCUCCUCUCUCUCUCUUUCUCCCUCAAAUCCUUGCCGGCCGCCCUGCUCUCCGCCACCGCAAGAUGCUUGCUCCGGCGCCUCCCCCGCGCCGGUCACCACCGUGCCUCCCCCAUGCCGAACCCUCCUCCUCCCUCUGCUGCCGCCGCCGCCGCACCUUCCCCGAUCACGAGCGGUGGCGGCAAGGAGGCCCACCUCCCACGGCCCAACGCCACAGCCACCCCCUUCGAAGCCACCGCCGCCGCCGCCUCCACGCCCUCCUCCGUGUCGUCGCUGUCGCCGGCUCUCACCUGCCCGGCCUCCGUCUCCGUGCACCGGGAGUAGCUCCCCCACGACGGCGUCCGCGUCGUGGAGCUCCCAUGCGGCCUCGCGGCCUCCGUACCCAUCGACCAUCGAAGCAAGGCACCGCCGCCGUUUGACCGGCUCGAUUCGGCGGGACCCGAUGCCGGAGGAGCAGGGGAGCAUCACCACGAGCUCUGCGACGCCAAGGCGCACCCGCCCCGCAAGUCGUCGUUGCCAAUCGUCCACCGGAGCGCCGCCGCCACAUGAAGCCCAAGCCGCCGGUCCGGCCGGCGUGGGGGGCAGCAGCCGGCGCGGGGGGAGGGUGGCAGCCGGUGCAGGUGAGGGGCAGGGGAGGGCGGCAGCCGACGCAGGGGUGAGAGGAGAGGGAAAGGAGAGAAGAAAGAGGAUAGGAGAGAAGAGGUGCUGACAAGUGGGCCUAUCACCACGUGGCGUCCACGUCGCCAAAACCACCCACCAAAACAGCCCGAUGGUCAAAUAUGAAUGGUUUUGAUAGUUGCGUGGUCAAUGAUUCCUGGUUUUGCGGUUUGAUGGUCGAAACCAAACUGAGUCGAAAGUUCGAUGGUCAAAAAUGGACUUUACUCUAUUUUUAUAUAAAAUCAAUUUCUACAUGGCAGCACUAAUCACAAUAUGGAAGAUAAAAAGCAAAUCUAGAGCCAAAAAUUAAUAUAGUUAAUUGUAAAUACAGACAAACCUCACACCACCCAUAUCCGAACAGGUACUAAGUAUAGUUUGGUCACUAUGAAGCCAAGUGACAGUUCUGACAGAACUAGGUGAUUUCUCAAUUUCUCUUGGAGCAGCAUCCGGACGGUUCAAAUCAUAUAUGCGCAAAAUCUUCUCAAAACCUCCAGUGAGCAACAUGUGGGUAUCCUGAAGAAAUAUUAGUGUUAUAAAUGAGAUUUAUACAUGCAGAAAAACUUCCGGAGUUAAUGAGGAAAAACUUAAAUCAAAGGUUAAGAAAACAAUCCUGCAGGGAAUUAAAUUGAAUUAGUCAUAAGAAGGUUAUCUUCAAGAUGGACAUUUCUAGAUCUUAUUUCUCGACAAAUAAGUUGAUCUUGCUACAGUUCAGAUGACAGAAGGUACAUAAUUGGACAAGUAGAUAAAGAUAAAUAAUAAGACUGUUCCCAAAGAGAAAGGACAAGAACAAUCCAACAACUGGCUAAAUUAGAAAAUUCCAACUCAAAUCACAUGAGUGCAAAUCAAAUAGGGAGUGAUGGAAAGUAAAGUAUACGGUAGUUUAGAAGAUAAGAUUAAAAUUUUCAUAAACUUAUAACUUUCAUAUACUGAGAAUUAAGUUAGGAGGACAAUGCUUUGCAAGGCUGUGGAUCACUUAAAAUUGUAAUAUCUACUAAAGCCACUUUUCUAAAAACUUGUGAUGAUUAGAUGAGGGAUGUUCACAUCAGUAAUUCAACAAGAUGCUAAUUUAAGGUCAAUCAAAAAGAAGUAACUGAAUGUGUUGAUAAACUUUUAGGCGCAACUAUAGUGUUUUUGGACACUUCCAGCCAAAGUUCACAUAAAUCCUCAAUCCUAGUAACCCAGUAACCAAACGAGAGCCAAGAGGACAACCAUUCUUGCCAUUAUUAAUAACAAAUGAUCAAACAGAUGCUAAAAGUUAGAAGCCAAAAAAAAUAUAAAUAAUCACCAUCAUCCUCAGCCAAGAUGAAAAAAGGUGAAUUACCAGGAAAAAAAAGUACUGACAGAACAAGGUGACAAAAAGGGCAAUAACAGCAGCCAAUGGAAGGACUUGAUUAGGAUAAAGAAACAUGCAUGAUGCUGUAAUAUGGUGAGAGCAUAACCUCAGAAAAAGCACAUGCACGGACAAUGUGCUUGUGUUCGAAUGAGUGGAGCACUUCACCUGUUAGUGCAUCCCAUAUUUUUCUGAAAUAAAGAGAUAUAAUCAACAUAUAUUCUCAAAAAUGGAAACAUAACACUCUAGGUCAUCAUGCGGAAACUGAGCUUGCAUCCCAUUCAUGUAAACCAUCCAGUGUCGUACUGUAGUUUGGACAUUCCAUUUUUCAAUCCAGAUAUAGCUAGUGCAAAAUGCAUUCAGUCAAUAUUUUAUUAUAGUUUAUCGAAGGUUGGUUAGCUUGAAUCGAUUAGCAUUUAUAGGUAGGAGUCCUUCGGCUUGUCACCAAGUCAAAUCAUCCAUGCAAGGAGUUUAUGUCGUGUUUACUGGUAGAACUUAUUUUUCAUAAUUUGCGAAAAUCAUAUUUUGCUUUUCGGUAGCAGUUAAGUACCAAAUUCCGAGAUCAAUAAUGAUUAAUGGAUGCAAUGAAAGUUAAACCAAAUUGAGUGACAUACUGAAACCAAAUCAGGUGCGCUAAUUUCUUUUGGUGCAUACUGCAUACUCUUAAAACACCAGGUACUAAAAUAAACAACACCAUAAAUGUACUAAUAAAUUCCCACUUUUUUUGGCGAGCAGCCAAGCAUACGAUGGAACGAAACUGAUUCAAACAAGCUGUAGAAGGUGUCGUAACCUAUCCUAUUAACAAUAGACUUCGGCGUGCUCCAGGAAAACUGCAGCAUGUAUUAUAAGUUUGUUUACCAAACCAUUACAAUUACAACAUAUAACAUGCCAACAUCAAUGUAUCAGUAACACACCAAAAUGAGAUAACAAAACAAUUUUUUCAGCUAGAGAUUGGUGGGCAGACGUCAGAUGAAACGGAACUCCUGCAGAAGGAUUAUAAUCAAGGUAACACCAAGGGGACUUUGCGGAGUGAGAAUCAUACGCUGAAAAGUCAGCAGAACCAGAGGCAGCACGCAGAGCAUUGGUGUCUAGACAAGCGCUCCAAACGGCACCUUUGUGACCUUGAAAUGUUCCAAUCCAAUCUCCAGUCUCACCAUUGCGAAGCAUUGGAUUUGAGUCUGAAAACAAAACCAUGUUAUUAAUGUCAGCACUUCAAUGAACAAGCAACAUUAAUCCAACAAUACAUUGAAGCUCACACAGUGCAAACUGGUUCCUGUAUCAGCAUGCACACUCUCUUCCCCAGAAUUUAUAACAGCAUGGUUCACUAAAAUUGAGCUACCAAAUAAAUAAUAAAACGUCUGGAGCCAAUUAAUGCUAACAAAUCUAAUGCUUGUUGUGCAGUAAAAACUAUAAGGAUUGACCAUUUAGCUGCCAAAGUUACUACAGACAAGUAUUCCAAACAAGGAAUCUAAAUUUAAACAAAAGCUCGAUGCAUAAGCACACAGAUACUUAUGUGGCUCAAAGGAACUAUUAUGUGGCCAAUAACAUUAGUGUCAGGUUCAGCUUAAGCCCUGGACAUUAGCAGGUAAGAUAAGAUACAUCACUCCUCAGUUUUGCUUUGUUACAUAGCAAGCAUCGGUCCUGACUACUGCCAGAACGUGGAAAACAGUAAGCUUUUCUCAUUUUUCAGUGGCUCAAGGGCUUGUUUCAAACUUGAAUGCACUUUCGAUACAUUAUAUGCAACAUAUUCUGGAGGUAGAUUCAAAUUUCAUGUCACUAAACUACUUAUUGAACAUCAAGAGCAAUCAGUAGCAAGUACCGCGAAGCCAGCUAAAUACAAUGACAAAACUCAAUAUCAUGACCACAUUAUCAGGUAGUGAAAGCUUGAUGGUUGACCUGACAUUCCAAACAGCAACUGCUGGAAACUAACAUAAAGCCAGAGUAUGUAACACUGUAAUCUGUAACUAUAGCUAAUCCAAAUCCAGAUUCUGAGCCGAUUUUUCUAUGCCAUUUAAGCCAGUAAUUGACUGUUCCACUAUUAUCUAUUAAAUUAACUGCACUUUUCACCUCAGGCCCCAUCGAUCACAAUCAUCGUGCUAUUCGCAUUCCACAAGUAUAACAACACCCACUCUAAGAAUCCAAAUCAAGCAACAGGUGACGGGUUCAGGUAUGACGCACCCUUGCUGGCGCUGAUGAGG